AGCGAACGCUGGCGGCAUGCUUAACACAUGCAAGUCGCGCGGGCAGCUUCGGCUGCUAGCGGCGGAUGGGUGCGGAACGCGUAGGAACGUGUCCGGAGGUGGGGGACAUCCCUGGGAAACCGGGGCUAAUACCGCAUAUGGCCCGCGGGUCAAAGCCGAAAGGCGCCUCCGGGGCGGCCUGCGUCCGAGUAGGUAGUUGGCGGGGUAACGGCCCGCCAAGCCCGCGAUCGGUAGCCGGUCUGAGAGGACGAGCGGCCACACUGGGCCUGAGACACGGCCCAGACUCCUACGCAGUGGAGCAGUAGGGAAUAUUAGGCGAUGAGCGCAAGCCUGACACAGCAAUGCCGCGUGGGUGAAGAAGGGCGUCGGAUUGUGAAGCCCUUUCGGCGGAGACGAUGGUGACGGUACCCGCAGAAGAAGCCCCGGCCAACUUCGUG
rnacentral:rRNA from 1 species